UACGAAGGGGGCUAGCGUUGUUCGGAAUUACUGGGCGUAAAGCGCGCGCAGGCGGUCUUCCAAGUCAGUGGUGAAAGCCUGGAGCUCAACUCCAGAACUGCCAUUGAAACUGUUAGACUUGAGUACGAGAGAGGUGAGUGAAUUCCCAGUGUAGAGGUGAAAUUCGUAGAUAUUGGGAAGAACACCAGUGGCGAAGGCGGCUCACUGGCUCGUAACUGACGCUCAGGCGCGACAGCGUGGGAUCGAAACAGG
rnacentral:rRNA from 1 species